rnacentral:rRNA from 1 species
AUUGAACGCUGGCGGCAGGCCUAACACAUGCAAGUCGAGCGGAUGAGGGGAGCUUGCUCCUCGAUUCAGCGGCGGACGGGUGAGUAAUGCCUAGGAAUCUGCCUAGUAGUGGGGGACAACGUUUCGAAAGGAACGCUAAUACCGCAUACGUCCUACGGGAGAAAGUGGGGGAUCUUCGGACCUCACGCUAUUAGAUGAGCCUGGGUCGGAUUAGCUAGUUGGUGGGGUAAAGGCCUACCAAGGCGACGAUCCGUAACUGGUCUGAGAGGAUGAUCAGUCACACGGGAACUGAGACACGGUCAAGACUCCUACGGGAGGCAGCAGUGGGGAAUAGUGGACAAUGGGCGAAAGCCUGAUUCAGCCAUGCCGCGUGUGUGAAGAAGGCCUUCGGGUCGUAAAGCACUUUAAGUUGGGAGGAAGGGCUCAUAGCGAAUACCUGUGAGUUUUGACGUUACCAACAGAAUAAGCACCGGCUAACUUCGUGCCAGCAGCCGCGGUAAUAC